GUCUCUGUGGCGCAACUGGACAGCGCAUUCUGCUGUUAACCGAAAGGUUGGUGGUUCGAGCCCACCCAGGGACG